AUGUAAGCUAAUGGCAAAUUCUAUCAGCUUUCACAUUUUUGACUGUAUAUAUUAAUUACUAAGGUACACUAGCAUUUUGGUAAUAGGAGAAAUGUUGCCUUUUACAAUUAAAUAGUGAUUUCUAGCUUUUAGAAAUUUUUAAUGAAACAAUAACAAUAGCUGAAUUACUUGUCAGGAGUACUUUUGUUUAAACUAUAAAAGUAAAAAUACUUUUCAAUACUAAAUUAUAUAUAUACUUUUUGGACUUCAGGGAAAGACCAUGUCUUAUAUAUCUUUUUAUCUGUUUAGCAUCUACCAUGAUGCUUCUCACAUAUCAAAUUGUCAUUUACACCUGUGUUGAAUGAAAUCAUGAGUGACUUGAAAUCUUUUUAAAAUAAGGCACAUGCUUUAACUUUUUGUUUGAGUUGAGGGAUUCUUGAUUGGUGCUUGAAUUAUCUUUAAUUUACAUAUUGUGGAAUUUUAAGUGACUGACAGGUGGGUUUAGUAGGCUCUAGUUCAGUAAAUAUUUUUUGAAUGGGGAUUAGGGAAGAUAGUAAAUGAAAAUAUAGUAAAUUAAGAGUGUGUGUUCUGGAGUCAGAUGUGAUUUCAGUCCCUGGCUCUCUCACUCACAAGCUGUGGUUAAUUUCUUAACUUCUCAGCCAUAAAUGUGGUUGUUGUGAGGAUUAAAUAAUGCUAAUGAAUAUUAGUUUUUACAAUUGUCAUCAUCAGUGUUUUCAUAAUCACCAUUAAAGUUCUAAAAUGUCUUUAUAACGGAUCUGUAAUAUCCUUUGCAGUGUGUUCUUCCUUCCCCAGUCAGCAUAUUGUGUGAUUUUGUUUUAUAUCACAGUGAUAAAAGGAUUCUUGCACUUUUUCCAGCAGUAACUGGGCUGUUUUUAGUCUAAAAGAUCUGAGAAGCUUGGAAGGGAGAUCACUCCAAACACAGCAGGUGGAGUUCUGAUGGCUGCAUAUCAAGCCAAUGUCAUGUUAAAGGUUUACACCUGUUAAUAACUCUCUCACUUUUCUGUUGUGCUAGACCUGAACAUUAUACUUGAAAUAGCCACUGAAGUUUUAAAAACAAACAGAGACUUUUUGAAAUUAGUUACAGCUUCAAAAGCUAGCUUUCAUUCUCACAUCAGGAGCUUUCCCCCAGUGAACGAAGAACAUUCUUUUGGUUUUUAGUACGAAUGGCUGUGUCAUAUACAUCUGAAGUCUGUUAGUUGAUGUAUUAAAGAAUUAGUGAACUAAAUUUGGAAUGUAGUUAAUGGUAAAAAUAUGUAAGAAUUAACUUUACAUUUGUUGAGAAAGGUGUUAUUACUACACAAUGACUGUUAGGGUAGAAGCAUAUCAUUAACAAAUUUCUGAAGGAUAGGUUAUGAACUAAUGAACCUGCUGAAAGUUAGAAGUGGAAAAAAAAGAAAGAAGCAAUAAUCAAAGCUGUAUGAUAUGGAUUAGGUUUGAAUGCAGAAGGCUUUCAAAUCUAUAGGAUUGUAGGAAAAAUUCUUUUAUUAAAAUUUGUGUUGCAGAUUUUAAAAAAGUAUUUGAAGGUUAGUAAAGAAAUAUUAAAAUUUAAAGCGAAACAGUAGGAUUUAAAAUGGGUCAGGAGAUAAAGGGGUAUAUUUUGAAUUAUCCUUUUUUUUUGAGGUUGUGUUUUUCAAAUAAAAAAGUGUUUGGGUGUACUUUAAAUGAAAAAUAUAUUUGAUUAAGCUCAGAAGCUUAUUUUGCUCAUUUGCACAUUUCUUACUCAGAUGGUUGAAGUUGCUAGAAAUGUGACUGAAGUAAGAGAAUGGCCAUGGGAGGAAAAUGAAAAAUGAAAUAUGUUACCAUUUCUUUUCUACAAAUGUUUGUUAAUAAAAUUUAUAAAAACCCAAUAAAUAUUAUAUAGAUGGCUUUUAACUAUUAUUUAAAUUUAAUUUAGAUUUAAAUUUUACUAUUCUAUCCAGUGAUUUUGAAGACCUUACUCUAAGGUGGAGAUCUCAGCCAUCAUUGUGCUUUUUAGUACUGAAAGAUUUUCUGCCUCUUUGUCUCUCUGCCUCAUAUUCUUGUUUGAAAAAAAAAUACAUUUUUUUCUCUCUCAUCAUAGUAUAGAGAAAACAUGAACUACUUACUGAUUGGGUUAGAAGUGAGUAAAAUCUUGAUUUUGUAUCUUCAAAACUGGUGACCCUGAGUAGAUUAUUUUCUUGGGCUCAGUUUUUUCAUCUGUAAAAUGAAUGUUUUCUGUUAACUGAUCUUAGAAGGCUUUUGUAGGUUUGUGACUUUGUUUUUGUUGAUAAAAAUAUCUUUAUAAACUUUUUGAAAUUAACCUUUUUGUGUGCAAAUUUUUGAUUUUUCAAGUUCAUGAAGAAUGCAAUAUUUAAUUAUCUAGUAUAGCAUUUUGUAAUAAAUCAACAUAUCCCUAAUUUACAUCUUUCUUUUAAAAGUCCAUAUCAGUAUUUGUAUUUUUCUGUGUACUUUUAAAUCUGGAAUGUAAUGUGAGUAUUGUUGUUAGUUUCCUAUUCUGAACUUUUUAGCACAACAGUUCUUUGCUCCUACUUUUUAUUUCUAUAGUAGUUAUUUCCUAUGCCAGAUUAAAAAAAAAGAAAAGAAAAUUGUGUGGGUGGAAAAGGUAAAAGGGAGUAAGAGGUACAAACUUCCCAGAUAUAAAAUAACUCACAGGGCCUGUAAUGUACAGCAUAGGGAAUAUAGUCAAUAGUAUCUUAAUAACCUUCGUGUGGUGACAGAUGCUUACUAGAUUUAUAUCAAUGAUCAUUUUGCAAGGUAUGUAAAUGUUAAUAACUUGUAUUCAGUGUAAUAUUGUAUGUUAACUAUAGUUUAAUUUUUUUCAGGAAAGUUUAAUUGUGGUAUAAACUCACUUUUCAUGUUUAGGAAGAUAUUAGCCUUUGUAGUAGAAACAUAGUUUUUCAGCCAGGGUGUGUGUGUGUGUGUGUAUCAAUCUUUUAAGAAAUAGCCAAAACGUAGCAGAAUCUAGGUAUUGAGAAACUAAUUUGAAAAAAAUUAAAAUUAAUUAGAAUGUGAAAGGGUGGGCACUUUAUAUCUAUCAGUGUUGAUUACAACAAUUAAUAAUGCUUGCUAGGAACCCAAAUGUAAGAAAAUAACAUUUAUUAGAUGCAUUUCUUAUGAUUUUAUUAUUGUUGGCUUCUACCUGUUUUAACAGCAGAUGUGUUUUUAGAGACAAUUAUGGGAUUUGACCUAUUUUACUAGCAUUAUGUUUAUUUUUAAAAAGAGGUUAAAGAAAGUUAAGUAUUAAAUACAUCUAUUACCAUAUUUACUCACAUUAUAUACAGUUACCAGACUUCAGAAAUAUUAUGUAAUUCCUGUAUUCUUAGUGUACCGGAAAGAGCAUGAAUACACAUUGUAACUAAAGCAUUUAAAUAUAUUAAAAGAGAAUAUACUAAUUUACAUACUUGAAACUAGAAUAACUAUCACAAGUUGUGAUCUGGCUAGUCUCAAAGGAUGAGGUUGUAUAAUUAGAUCUAAAACAAAACAAAAACAAAGGUAGUGUAUUCUCACCUGGAAAAUAGACAAGAAUUGGGCAGUACUAACUUAGUUUCCUUCUGCCCAGACUGACUCCUAUAUAAUGAGGGGAAUAGAUGAAUUUGAAGGAUAGUGUUUUUCCUUCCUGUCUUGGUGUUAAGUCUUUUUAUCUGCUCUGGAAAAUCUAGGUUAGUUGUUUGAGAUGUUAAUAGGAUCUCUGCUUGAAUAAGUGAAUUUAACAGGGUUCUGUUCCAUUUAUUUCCAUAUAUACCACAAUUUUUUUUUUACUUGAUGUCUUUUGUGUAGUAGGUACUCAGUAUACAUAUUUGUUGAAUGAGUGAGUGAAUGAUUAUAGUUAAACUCAAUUAACUGUUACAAAUCCUGUAAGGAUUAUUAUUUUUAAGAGAGGAAUUAUAGAUCUUUCUGUAAGCAGCCUGAUGUGACCUCUGAAAAUGGUUCUUUAUUCAGUUGACCCAGAAAAGCUCACAAAAUCAUGCAAACGAAGAGGUUUAAAUCUUUGUGUUCACUUUAAGAACACUCCUGAAACUAACUGCCCAGGCCAUCAAGGGUGUACAUAUUGGUGGAGUUGGUAGGUGUGCCCAGGCCAGAUAGUGGGCCUGGAUGCAGGGUCAGAGGCCCAAAGAGUGCUGAUGUUUUUGCUGCACAUACUUAAAAAUGCAGAGGGUAAUGUUGAACUUAAAAGUUUAGAUGUAGAUUCUCUGGUCAUUGGGCACAUCCAGGUGAACAAAGCUCUCAAGAUGUGGCACAGAAUUUAGAGCUUAUGGGUACAUUAAUCUAUACCAUGAGCUCUGCCUGACACAUGGAGAGGAUCCAACUGAAAAAGAGCAGAUCGUUUAUAAACCAGAAGAGGAGGUUGUACAGAAGUAAAAGAUAUCCCAGAAGAAACUGAAGAAACAAAAACUUAUGGCCUGGUAGUAAAUUCCUCAUCAGAUGAAUGCUAAUAAGAGGGGCUGGAGAGAGACAGAGAGACUGAGAUUCAGAUUGAUUACAUAGGUAUCCAUCAACAGUACUGAAGAAAAAUUAAAAAAGUAGUCUCUAGUGGCAGUGAGAUAGUAUGUUAAGGAUCCAUAUGCCAUUACAUAGAAGCUCUUCUGAUCAACCUCUACUUAAUUUACAUAGAUUAUCUCAUACUUUUUAUUCCAUCAGUAAGACAUUCUGGUUUUAACCCCACGUGUCAACAUGGUUAGUAAGCUACUCUCUGACAUACUCCUAUGCAGUUUAAGAUGUAAAUUGGGUCUGUCCCUUACAAGACUUCUGAUAAGGUUGCUGACCUGUUAUUGUUAAUUAUAAGAUUACAUAUUUCAUAGGCCAAUGAAAUGCUAGUUUGAAGAAUUACUUCAUGAAAACUGUUAAAUGCUUUGAAAGAGUUGAUAAAACUGAGUUGUUAGAAACUGCAGUGAAAUUGGUGGAUAUACAACUAAAAACUUGGGGCAAAUUUAUAAAAACCUGGAAGAAGCUUUUAUUCAGAUUGCUUCUCUAUUGCCCUUAAGUAUUCAUUUCAUUUAAAAGAUAUUGAAAUGCACUAAUGAUGUAUUAGGAGAGUUGAUUAUACAAGAAAAUUGACAAAAAGUUAUACGCAAAGAAACCAUAAAAACUGGUGAGUGAGACAGUGUGUAUUAAAAAAAUUAAAAUGUGUGUCAGUAUUCAUAAAUUCUUCAUUUAAUAGACUAAUUCUUUGUGAAGUUCACAUUACGAGGGAUUCUACUAUAAAUUUACAUUAAACAAGUCAUUCUCAUGAGGUUUGUUCAUAUACUCAUCUAUAGGAUUAAAGAACUACUCUUAGAUAUUUUUAAACCAAAAUUCAGUAUAUAUAAACAUUAGUUUUUAGGUUGUAGCAGUUUGCUUUACAGUAUUCCUCCUAAUCCACAGGAGAUACAUUCCAAGACCCCAAAUGGAUGUCUAACACUGUGUAUAGAAUCAUAUAUAUACAUACUCAAAGUUUAAUUUAUAAAUUAGGCAAUUUCAUGGAUAGAAUAUUCAUUCUUUCUGUAGAUUUUAGCAAUCUUAGCACAUGACUUUUUUGUAAGUCAAGAACUUUGACCUUUUCACUUAAAGGAGGCACUUUACAGUUAUUUGGCAUAUCUGAAUUGCCAGCAUCACUAAUCUUGUGCUUUACGGCUAUUAUUAAGCAAAAGGGGUACUUGAACACAAACGUUGCAAAUUGUAAUACCUCCAGCGUCAACUUGAUAAACUAGAAGGCUACUAAAUAACUAAUGGGCAGAUAGUCUGUGCUCUGGACAAAGGGAUGUUUAACUCCCUGGCUGGAGAGAGUGGGACACUUCAUCACACUGCUCAGAAGGGCAUGUAAUUGAACAGUUAUGAGUAGUUUAUUUCUGAAAUUUUCCAUUUAAUAUUUUUGGACUGCAGUUGACUGUGGGUAACUAAAACCUUGGAAAAUGAACUGUUGGCAAGAUGGACUACUAUAGCUGACAUUAUCUAAUGUAUUUUAACCUUUCAAGUAAAUUAACCAGUAUUUAGCUCAUUUAUUUACACAUUCCUUAGCAAUUAAUUCACUGUAAGUGUAUUUUGUGCUGGUACUUGAAAUGGAUUGGUAAAAUACAAAAAAAAUCUCUUCUUCAUGGGGCUUACAUUCCUCUGUGUGUGUGUGUGAGAGAGAGAGAGAGAGAAAGGGAGGGGGAGAGAGGGAGGGAGGGAGAGAGAACAAAUAAAUAUGUUAGAUAAGUGCUCUGGAGCAAAAGCAGGGAAGAUAUGGAUAGGGACCCCCCAUUUUAUUAUGUGGACAUAAUGAGCCUUCUUAUUACUUGUGAGGCCCCCAAAAGAUAAUUCAGAUAUACUUAUCAAAUUAAUUUAAAAUAUAUUUUAAUAGGAGUUUAUUAAAUAUUGUGAUGUAUGAGAAAGUUUAAAAAUAACCUUGAAAUUCUAUAUAAACCUUUUUUUAGGUUGCAGCUCCCCUCAGUGGUUAAUGAUGAAAUUGACUCUUGCCUGUAGCAAUAGGUCUAUUAUUGUAGCAAUAACAUAUUACAAAUGAUGUAUGUACUCUGCUUUAUAUUUUAAAUGUG